GAUGAACGCUGGCGGCGUGCUUAACACAUGCAAGUCGAACGGAAAGGCCCAAGCUUGCUUGGGUACUCGAGUGGCGAACGGGUGAGUAACACGUGGGUGAUCUGCCCUGCACUUCGGGAUAAGCCUGGGAAACUGGGUCUAAUACCGGAUAGGACGAUGGUUUGGAUGCCAUUGUGGAAAGUUUUUUCGGUGUGGGAUGAGCUCGCGGCCUAUCAGCUUGUUGGUGGGGUAAUGGCCUACCAAGGCGUCGACGGGUAGCCGGCCUGAGAGGGUGUACGGCCACAUUGGGACUGGGAUACGGCCCAGACUCCUACGGGAGGCAGCAGUGGGGAAUAUUGCACAAUGGGCGCAAGCCUGAUGCAGCGACGCCGCGUGGGGGAUGACGGCCUUCGGGUUGUAGACUCCUUUCGCUAGGGACGAAGCGUUUUUGUGACGGUACCUGGAGAAGAAGCACCGGCUAACUACGUG
rnacentral:rRNA from 1 species